UGGUGGAGCGAUUUGUCUGGUUAAUUCCGAUAACGAACGAGACCUUAACCUGCUAACUAGACACGCGAUCUCGUGGAUCGUGACGCGUUCUUCUUAGAGGGACCCUCGGUAUCUAGCCGGAGGAAGUUUGAGGCAAUAACA
rnacentral:rRNA from 1 species